CACUUCCUACGGGGGGCAGCAGUGGGGAAUAUUGCACAAUGGGCGCAAGCCUGAUGCAGCGACGCCGCGUGCGGGAUGGAGGCCUUCGGGUUGUAAACCUCUUUUGUUCAAGGGCAAGGCACGGUCUUUGGCCGUGUUGAGUGGAUUGUUCGAAUAAGCACCGGCUAACUACGUGCCAGCAGCCGCGGUAAUACGUAGGGUGCAAGAGUUAUCCGGAUUUAUUGGGCGUAAAGGGCUCGUAGGCGGUUCGUCGCGUCCGGGGUGGAAGUCCAUCGCUUAACGGGGGAUCCACGCCGGGGACGGGC
rnacentral:rRNA from 1 species